rnacentral:rRNA from 1 species
GUACGGCGAGUGAGCGGCAAAAGCUCAAAUUUGAAACCCUCGGGAUUGUAAUUUGAAGAUUUGGCAUUGGAGAAAGCUAACCCAAGUUGCUUGGAAUAGUACGUCAUAGAGGGUGACAACCCCGUCUGGCUAACCGUUCUCCAUGUAUUGCCUUAUCAAAGAGUCGAGUUGUUUGGGAAUGCAGCUCAAAGUGGGUGGUAAACUCCAUCUAAAGCUAAAUACUGGUGAGAGACCGAUAGCGAACAAGUACUGUGAAGGAAAGGUGAAAAGAACUUUGAAAAGAGAGUGAAAUAGUAUGUGAAAUUGUUGAUAGGGAAGGAAAUGAGUGGAGAGUGGCCGAGGUUUCAGCCGCCCCUCGUGGGCGGUGUACUGCCGACGCCGAGUCAUCGAUAGCGAGACGAGGGUUACAAAUGGGAGCGCCUUCGGGCGUUCUCCCCUAACCCUCCACACUGCCACCGACGACAU